rnacentral:rRNA from 1 species
CCUACGGGGGGCAGCAGUGGGGAAUAUUGGACAAUGGGGGCAACCCUGAUCCAGCCAUGCCGCGUGUGUGAAGAAGGCCCUCGGGUUGUAAAGCACUUUCAGUGAGGAAGAACGCCUGGUGGUUAAUACCCAUCAGGAAAGACAUCACUCACAGAAGAAGCACCGGCUAACUCCGUGCCAGCAGCCGCGGUAAUACGGAGGGUGCGAGCGUUAAUCGGAAUUACUGGGCGUAAAGCGCGCGUAGGUGGCUUGAUAAGCCGGUUGUGAAAGCCCCGGGCUCAACCUGGGAACGGCAUCCGGAACUGUCAAGCUAGAGUGCAGGAGAGGAAGGUAGAAUUCCCGGUGUAGCGGGGAAAUGCGUAGAGAUCGGGAGGAAUACCAGUGGCGAAGGCGGCCUUCUGGACUGACACUGACACUGAGGUGCGAAAGCGUGGGUAGCAAACAGGAUUAGAUACCCUAGUAGUC